GACGAACGCUGGCGGUGUGCUUCAAACAUGCAAGUCGAGCGUGGGUUGGCUGGUCCGCAAGGAUCGGUUCAACUCUAGCGGCGAACGGGUGAGUAACACGUGGGCAAUCUGCCCUGAAGACGGGGACAACCUCGGGAAACCGGGGCUAAUACCCGAUACCCUCACCGGGUGGCAUCAUCUGGUGUGGAAAGGUCGCAAGACGCUUCAGGAUGAGCCCGCGGCGUAUCAGCUAGUUGGUGGGGUAACGGCCCACCAAGGCUAAGACGCGUAGCUGGCCUGAGAGGGUGGUCAGCCACACUGGGACUGAGACACGGCCCAGACUCCUACGGGAGGCAGCAGUUGGGAAUUUUGGGCAAUGGGCGCAAGCCUGACCCAGCGACACCGCGUGGGGGAUGAAGGCCUUCGGGUCGUAAACCCCUGUCAGGAGGGAAGAAGCCCCGCAAGGGGUGACGGUACC
rnacentral:rRNA from 1 species